rnacentral:rRNA from 1 species
AGAGUUUGAUCAUGGCUCAGAGCGAACGCUGGCGGCAUGCCUAACACAUGCAAGUCGAGCGCCCCACUGGAGCAAUCUGGAUGGGGAGCGGCGGACGGGUGAGUAACGCGUAGGAACGUGUCCUUCGGUGGGGGAUAACCCUGGGAAACUAGGGCUAAUACCGCAUGAUGGCUUAUUGUUCGCAGCAAUGGGUCCAAAGAUUUAUCGCCGAGGGAGCGGCCUGCGUCCGAUUAGCUGGUUGGUGAGGUGACGGCUCACCAAGGCUCUGAUCGGUAGCUGGUCUGAGAGGAUGAUCAGCCACACUGGGACUGAGACACGGCCCAGACUCCUACGGGAGGCAGCAGUGGGGAAUAUUGGACAAUGGGCGCAAGCCUGAUCCAGCAAUGCCGCGUGGAUGAAGAAGGUCUUCGGAUUGUAAAGUCCUUUCGGCGGGGACGAUGAUGACUGUACCCGCAGAAGAAGCCCCGGCUAACUUCGUGCCAGCCGCCGCGGUAAUAC